rnacentral:rRNA from 1 species
AGUGAACGCUGGCGGCAUGCCUAACACAUGCAAGUCGAACGGCAGCACAGUUACAUCUAGCUGGUGCGGAUGGCGAGUGGCGGACGGGAGACAUCUAAAUCUGUCCCUUCUUUUUCGAGAGGGCGAACGAAGGCGAAUUAAUACUACUAACGAAUAACACCUACAGGCGAAAGACGUUCAUCUCUCGCGCUUGCGCGUUGGCCUGAGCCGAGGUCGGAUUAGCUAGUUGGUGGGGUAAAGGCCGACCAAGGCGACGAUCCGUAGCUGGUCUGAGAGGAUGAUCAGCCACACUGGAACUGAGACACGGUCCAGACUCCUACGGGAGGCAGCAGUGGGGAAUAUUGGACAAUGGGCGCAAGCCUGAUCCAGCAAUGCCGCGUGGGUGAAGAAGGCCUUCGGGUUGUAAAGCCCUUUUGUCGGGAAAGAAAAGCUGCGGGUUAAUACCGCGCUGUGAUGACGGUACCGAAAGAAUAAGCACCGGCUAACUACGUG